rnacentral:lncRNA from 1 species
GUUAUAUAGUAUUAAGUUGGGAUAGUACUGGUAGAUAAAGACAGGUUAUAUAGUAUUAAGUUGGGAUAGUACUGGUAGAUAAAGACAGGUUAUAAAGUAUUAAGUUGGGAUAGUACUGGUAGAUAAAGACAGGUUAUAUAGUAUUAAGUUGGUAUAGUACUGGUAGAUAAAGACAGGUUAUAUAGUAUUAAGUUAGGAUAGUACUGGUAGAUAAAGACAGGUUAUAUAGUAUUAAGUUGGGAUAGUACUGGUAGAUAAAGACAGGUUAUAAAGUAUUAAGUUGGGAUAGUACUGGUAGAUAAAGACAGGUUAUAUAGUAUUAAGUUGGGAUAGUACUGGUAGAUAAAGACAGGUUAUAUUGUAUUAAGUUGGUAUAGUACUGGUUGAUAAAGACAGGUUAUAUAGUAUUAAGUUGGGAUAGUACUGGUAGAUAAAGACAGGUUAUAUUGUAUUAAGUUGGUAUAGUACUGCUUGAUAAAGACAGGUUAUAUAGUAUUAAGUUAGGAUAGUACUGAUACUCAGAACAACAAUAACCACCACUAGUACAUCCGGUUAUAUCUCUGCCUUUACGUUUCAAAACUAUUGUAACGUAUCUUUAACACUAAAAUAUGUAUUUUAUUUGAAAAUGCAGAUUGAUGAUGAUGAUACAUCAUUCCAUACAUUAUAUACAAAAGUAUGUGCACACCCCUUCAAAUUAGUGGAUUUGUCUAUUUCAGCCACACCCGUUGCUGACAGGUGUGUACAAUCGAGCACAUAGCCAUUUAAUCUCCAUAGACAAACAUUGGCAGUAGUAUGGCUUUACUGAAGAGCUCAGUGACUUUCAACGUGGCACCGUCAUUUUCUGCCCUGGUCAACUGUAAGUGCUGUUAUUGUGAAGCGGAAAUGUCUAGGAGUAACAACGGCUCAGCCGUGAAGUGGUAGGCCACACACGCUCACAGAAUGGGACCGCCAAGUGCUGAUGCACGUAGGGAUGGAGAGUUGAACUUAUUCCACGACUGCUGAUACAGUAUCUAGCCUACCUAUGAGGCACAGGCUUCCCCUCUCUAGAGCCAGGGAAAAUAAUUAAAUACAUUUUAGUCAUUUAGCAGACGCUCUUAUCCAGAGCAACUUACAGUAGUGAAUGCAUACAUUUCAUUUCAUACAUUUUUUUUUUUUUUUCCUGUGCUGGCCCCCCGUGGGAAUCGAACCCACAACCCUGGCGUUGCAAACACCAUGCUCUACCAACUGA